UUAUUAAUAAUAAAGAGUUGGGCCUGCUCGGUGAGUAAUUUUAACAGCUGCGGUAUUAUAACUGUACUAAGGUAGCAUAAUAAUUUGCCUUAUAAAUUGAGGCUAGAAUGAAUGGUUUGACGAAAAUUAUACUGUCUCUAUUUUAAUUGGUAGAAGUUAAUUUUUAAAGUGAAAAAGCUUAAAUAGUUUAAAGGGACGAGAAGACCCUAUUGAGCUUUUAUUAAAUUUAUAAUUUUUAUAUAAGUGCAUUAAUAAUGUGUUUAAUAGUAGUUAUAGCAGUUUAAUUUUGGUUGGGGUGAUCAAGGAAUAAUGAUGUAGUAACUUCCUUAAUUGUUUAAUUUUAAUUAAAUAAUAAACCAAUGUUAUUGCUUAUAGAUAAGUUACCAUAGGGAUAACAGCGUAAUUUUCUUUGAGAGUUCAUAUUGAAAAGAGAGAUUGCGACCUCGAUGUUGGAUUAAAAUAACCAUUAAGUGAAGAGGCUUUAUUAGGUAAAUCUGUUCGAUUUUUAAAA
rnacentral:rRNA from 1 species